UUCCCUGCGGCGCGCCGGGAGGCGGCGGCCCACUUCCGGCAAUAAUCGCCGUGUCGCCGUCAGGUGCGGGCCCAGGUGGCGGGCGCGCCCGUUGUGCACUGGGGGCCGCGGGCGCGUCAGGUGAAGACUAGGGGCCGCAGGCGCGCCAGGAGAACUAUGCCAUUUUUGGGUCAGGACUGGAGAUCUCCUGGAUGGAGUUGGAUUAAGACAGAAGAUGGCUGGAAGAGAUGUGAAUCCUGUAGUCAGAAACUUGAAAGAGAGAAUAACCAUUGUAACAUCAGUCACAGCAUUAUCUUAAAUAGUGAAGAUGGAGAAAUAUUCAAUAAUGAAGAGCAUGAAUAUGCAUCCAAAAAAAGGAAAAAGGACCAUUUUAGAAAUGACACAAAUACUCAAAGUUUUUAUCGUGAAAAAUGGAUCUAUGUCCAUAAAGAAAGCACAAAAGAAAGGCAUGGCUAUUGCACCUUGGGAGAAGCCUUCAAUCGGUUAGACUUCUCAAGUGCAAUUCAAGAUAUCCGAAGGUUCAAUUAUGUGGUCAAACUGUUGCAGCUAAUUGCAAAAUCCCAGUUAACUUCAUUGAGUGGUGUGGCACAAAAGAAUUACUUCAACAUUUUGGAUAAAAUCGUUCAAAAGGUUCUUGAUGACCACCACAAUCCUCGCUUAAUCAAAGAUCUUCUCCAAGACCUAAGCUCUACCCUCUGCAUUCUCAUUAGAGGAGUAGGGAAGUCUGUAUUAGUGGGAAACAUCAAUAUUUGGAUUUGCCGAUUAGAAACUAUUCUCACCUGGCAACAACAGCUACAGGAUCUUCAGAUGACUAAGCAAGUGAACAAUGGCCUCACCCUCAGUGACCUUCCUCUGCACAUGCUGAACAACAUCCUAUACCGGUUCUCAGACGGAUGGGACAUCAUCACCUUAGGCCAGGUGACCCCCACGUUGUAUAUGCUCAGUGAAGACAGACAGCUGUGGAAGAAGCUAUGUCAGUACCAUUUUGCUGAAAAGCAGUUUUGUAGACAUUUGAUCCUUUCAGAAAAAGGUCAUAUUGAAUGGAAGUUGAUGUACUUUGCACUUCAGAAACAUUACCCAGCGAAGGAGCAGUACGGAGACACGCUGCAUUUCUGUCGGCACUGCAGCAUUCUCUUUUGGAAGGACUCAGGACACCCCUGCACCGCGGCCGACCCUGACAGCUGCUUCACGCCUGUGUCUCCGCAGCACUUCAUCGACCUCUUCAAGUUUUAAGGGCUGCCCCUGCCAUCCCUACUGGAGAUUGUGAAUCAUGCUGUCUGUGCGGGGCUCAUAGAUGUGCUCCUCCGAGAUGAAACGGAUGUCUGAUUCUGGAAGCCGGAGGAACACGCUGCAACGCACUUCCAGACUCUGCGAGGAAGAGUGGGCAGGCACACAAUCUCAGGAAGACGGUUCAGGGCGGCGGGGACAUUGAUCGUGGGUUUACCGUCAGCUCUGACAGCCCGGCUUGAAGCUUCCUUCUAAGGAUAAAGACUGAGCAGAGACUCCAUGUGUCCUGGGCCCCAGUGGAUCAAAUUAGAAUAUGCAGGAGCCUGGGCAAAUGAACCUAUGACCCUGGGCAGCUGGCAGACUUUAAAAGUGAAUUCCAAGUACAAGCCUGUCUUUUUAAACAUCUGCCCAAGGCUGCCACGGACCAAAUUCCUAAAGAUACCUUGUUGCCCUAGAAAUGUCUCCAAAACUCAAUAACCCACUAGUUCUCCUCCUCCUUCCAGAGACUUGGCUCCCACCUCCCCCAAUUACAUGACCUUCUUCCAUCAAAUCCAUGCUCCACACAAAGAAGAAAACAGCACCUAAUUCUGAUGAAAACGUCUGUCCAUGGGACAAAGCCCUGCAGGGCCCAGCCUUGGCCUUAAGGGAAGGCGGGGUUGGGGGUAUGACACUAGCUCCCCGCAAGAGCUGUGCUUCACCUCACACAACCUCCCUGGCCCUCACUCUGGGUGAGGCAGAAAUGCCACCGGCUCUACUUCCUGUUGAUGUGGGGACAUUGAUCCUCUCUAGGGUUGAGAACCAGGAUUUAGACCCAGAAAUGGACUUUACGGCCUCAAGGGAGAAACAAGCAAGAGAAGAGCAGAAAAUGAACAAAAUGAACAGGAGGAGACCGCAAUGGACAGUGGUUCACAGAAGAGGGCCUGUUUCAGAGGAAAGAAGCAGCCUCUUGGGGGUGGCACACAGGUGAGAGGAGCCAUGGGUCAGGGCACCAAGGAGCCAGCCAGGUGAGAGGGACCCUUGGUGGCACAGGUGCCCCAGGAUCUGCAAGAGGAUUCUAUGAAAGCACACGCUUAAAGAGGCUGCAGGUGAGCCUGCCCGAGAACACCUCCCACACAAGUUGCCCCACGCUCUCCAGGUUUGGCCCCUCCACUGGCUGUUUGGCAGUUCCCGCCCUGAAGCCCCUUGCCCCUCCUCACAGGGCCUCCCACCAUCCCCAACCCUGUCCUCACCCACGAGCUUCCUCAGCAAGCAAUUCUUUAAAGUGAAUCAAUUCUAAAGAGUAUUAAGUAUGUUGUAGCAUAGAUGGCACUCGUGUUACAAAAAUGAAAAAUCCAAGAACUGAAGUUCAGAAGGCCCAGCCCCAACUACACCCCCCGACUUUUCUCAUGUAAAUGGGAGGGUGUUUCAGAACCCCAGUGGCACAUGCUGCCAGGGCAGGGCUCCUCCCUUCUGCUUCCAGUGCCUUCUGCUCCCUGGGCCCAGUGCUCAGCCAUGGGAGGAACCAGUGCAGCUGUCAUGCGGGCAUCUCCUGUGGGUGUCUUGUGAGGGUGGCUGUCAUGCGGUGGCUGCACAGGAAGCAGCCAUGGUAUCUGGGGCUGGGAGGCAGCAGGCACGGGACCCAAACCUGGGCCCUACAAACCCUGGGGACCAUGUCCCAGUGGAAGCACCACCCUGGGCCAAGACCCUGAAACACUAGAGCAGCUUUGGGAAGGUGCUUUCAUGUAGAAUGGAGGGAGACAAAGUGGCUUCCUGGCACUUGGGUGGGAGGUGGCAGGGGCUGCAUGCAGACCUGGGAUGCAGGCCUGAAAGCUCCAUCUCCUCCACCAAGAGCACCCCAGACCCCGACCUCAGCAGCAGGCAAGGGUUGGGGAGGAUGUGCCUUCAAGCUGAUCGUGUUUUGAGUACUUAAUAGAACAUGCUGCAGUCAGGGCAGGCAGAGGCCCGGCCCACAAGUGGAUCCUGCAGAGCACAGCGCAGAUCAGUAGAGGCCCAGAGUAGGGAGUCGCCCAGGCUGCACUCAUGUUGCUGGCAGAGGCCACGGCCUCCUGAGACAGUACUCGGGCCACCACACACCUUACGAGGGAUGCCACCCAUCUGGCCAUGGGAGGCCCAGACUUGACACAGAGGCUCCAGAAGCACACAGCACCAAACCCCAUCAGGGCCCAGCAGCUUCAAAACAAGCUCAAGGCCAAACAGCUGUCUGCCUUGGUGCAAAGAUCCCAACUUCAGCAUCUGACCCCAAAACCCACACCAGAGAGGGACUUCCCUAGUGAAAUGCCAGAGGUCAUGGUGGCAGGUGGCGCCUUCCAGAAGGGAGCCCCGAUGCUCUCACGGUGGCUCAGACCUGGUGCAGGCAGGCCCCUUUCCUGCCGAGACUCUGGGGAUGUGGCCUUGGCCUCGAGCCUGCCCGUCCUCAGCAGGCUGUCCCUGGUGGGCUGUGUGAGCUUCUCUGCACCUGUGAUACUUUUUUUUUUUCCUGGGAAAUGCUGCAUAAAUACCCACAACUGAAUGAAGGUUGCCCUUCCUCCCCACCUCAGCCUGCAGCUCCCAUCAUCUGGUGUCAUUCCACCUGCAACAGAACAAACUCAUUCCAGGCGUUCAAGAGCAGGACUCUUGGACCUCACUCAGCAUCUAUAAAAUGGGCACAGCAAUGCCGGCCUUGCAGGACUGUGCUAAGGCCCCAGAGGGAGGCAAGGGCAAAGGACAGGUGUCUGACGGGUGUGGCGCAAGUAGGUGUCAACGCCUGCUGGGGCCCAGUAGAGCAAGGCCACAGGCUGGUGUUGCUGCUCUAAGCCCUGCCACCUGUCCCCUCCCUGAAAAGCAACAGGAGCUCAGAUGUCGCCUGAGCCUGUCCCAGCCGACUGCAGCAGCAGAGGCAGCCGAGUUUCCUCCAAAGCCCACAGGAGCAGGCAGGCAACGUGGUCAGGCAGCCCUGCCACUUGUCACUGUUCUAAUAAGUACAUAAACAACCUAAAUAAUAAGUACUUAAAGUUUUCAUUGUGCUCACUUCUAGUUUUAUUUCUGAGCUGAGGUUUUUUGGCAGAAAGUUUAGUUGAAUCCUCAAACACAGCUGGCUGUAUGAGCUGGAGUUUUCCACUUCGGGGAACUGAAAUAUAUUAAUUCAAUCAAAAAUAGUUUACUUCCUCAGGGGAAGUAAACUGAUUUUGUUUUGUUUACCUCCCUCCCACCCCAACCUUUCACUGUGCCAAGUCAUUGCCUAAAUUUAAUAGCUUGACAUUCUGGGAGGCCAAUGGCCUUCACCUGAGGAGGGAGCGGGGAGGUCAGCAAGGUGUGCAUGUUCAGCCCACCGUGCUCAAGUUGAGAAGGAAAGAGACAGACCUGACACCACCUAAGGCUUUCAACCCAGUGGAGUUGAAAGCCCCAGACACUGUAACAUUCCUGCCUGGCAAGAGGUCCCCUCUGUGCCUGAAAUGCACUGAGCUGACUCUACCCCAGGCUGUGCCUGCCUCACAGUUUGGUAAAUGAUGACUUCCCAUGAUGCCCACAUGGAAGCUGCACCUUGAGGAGGUACAUGAUACACGCAUGCAGCCAGACAGCAGGACACACGCGUGAGGGGCAGAGGCGCUUCAGAGAUGGCGCCAGCAGGACCCCAGGCUUCCAGUUGCUGGCUCGCUUCCGCACAUGGCAUAUCUAGGAAGCACCAUAGGUAUACACGCACCGUGUUUGUGAAUGGUCAGUACUCUUCUAAUAUUUUUUGACAUAUUCCAGAAAGAUUAAAAACAGGUAAAAUUCACCCCAUAAUUCUUUCAUUUAAACAUAACUAUUAAAAUUUAUCAUUUGUCACA